rnacentral:rRNA from 1 species
UCCGUAGGUGGAUAAUUAAGUCAGAGGUGAAAUCCUGCAGCCCAACUGUAGAAUUGCCUUUGAUACUGGUUAUCUUGAGUCAUUAUGAAGUGGUUAGAAUGUGUAGUGUAGCGGUGAAAUGCAUAGAUAUUACACAGAAUACCGAUUGCGAAGGCAGAUCACUAAUAAUGUACUGACACUGAGGGACGAGAGCGUGGGGAGCGAACAGGAUUAGAUACCCUGGUAGUCC